CUGACAAAUACAAGAACGAUCCAGAAUUAUAUAAAAAUCCAAAGAGAGAGAAACUACUCCUGGAUGAACAUAAUAACAAUAUGCAAAGAUAAAUUACCAAAUUAGAGGAAAAGAUGAUGUCUUAUGAGAAACAUUUACAUUUGAAUGAUGAAAUUCGAUAUAUCUUGGAUGGAAGUAGGUAUUUUGACAUAAAAGAUAUAGAGGACACAUGGAUCUGAAUUGCCAGGGAGAAAAAGAUAUACAUAUACUUCGUGUGGGAAUUUAUCAUCAUUUCACUCUGGAUGAAAAGUACUAUGCAGAGACAAUCUGGCCCUUUGCUAGAUAACCGGUAUGAACCACUUUGAUACUCAAGGACAAUACAUGACACUUUUGGCACAGGCAGCAUAG
rnacentral:lncRNA from 1 species